rnacentral:lncRNA from 1 species
GGAUGACUGUGUUUUAAAAGUUUAGCCUUUAAUUCUCCCCAGGCGAGAGAGAGAUGUCACUCAGGACUGCUUCCGAAGGAGUUUCCCUUGAAGCUUGCUUCACUGUCUGACUCCUUUCAUACAAGUGGGUAACAUGCCCUUCAUUCAGAACCAAACCUGUGCCCUGGCUUGGUAUAUUUCCUCCACCUGCUGAGCAUCCUCUCACCCUCUACUUUUACCUGGAAGAAAGAAGACAAUAAUAUCUACCAAUCAAGAUGCUGUACCUGAAGCAGAAGAUAACCUGGCAAAGAAAAGAGUAUAGUGCUGCCUUCAGGGAACUCCUAGUCUAGGGGAAGACAGCCAAUAAUCACAUAACUGCUCUAAUCAAAUAUUUCACCAAAAUAAAGUAUUAGCCACCUCCUAGA